ACACUCAGAGACCUGCAGCCUGGAUAACUGUCUGGUGCAGCUGGAACUUGGAGACCUAUCUGCAGUGCUCAACUGGAGCCUUCUGACUGGAGACUGAAGAGGAUGAGUGUUCAGACUCUGUCCACACUCCAGAAGCUGGCAUUGCAGGCUCUGCUGAGAGAUGAGGCUUUGGCCUUGUCCUCUCUGGAGGAAGUGCCUUCUCUGCUCUUCCCAACACUGUUCAAAGACGCCUUCGCUGGCAGACUUAAGAAGCUCAUUAAGGCAAUGGUGGCAGCCUGGACUUUUCCCUGUCUCCCUGUGGGGGCUUUGAUGAAGUCACCUAACCUGGAGACCUUGCAGGCUGUGCUGGACGGAAUAGAUAUGCGACUGACAAGAGAAUCUCACCCCAGGGGAAAACUUCAGGUUCUGAACCUGAGGAAUGUGCACCAUGCCUUCUGGGACAUAUGGGUUGGUGCAGAGGAUGGUAGCUGUUCUUCAGAGCCCUUGGAUGAGAAGCCUACGGUAGUGAAGGUCCUUCCAAGAUAUGCACGGAGGAGGCAGCUGAAGGUGGUGGCUGACCUGUGCCUCAGGCCCCGCCGGGAUGAGACACAAGCAUACUUCUUGAAAUGGGCCCAGCAGAGAAAGGACUGCCUACAUUUGUGCUGUAUAAACAUGAAGAUCUGGGCUAUGCCCGUCAACUUUGUCCUAGAGAUUUUGAAUGUCUUUCAUCCAGAGCACAUCGAGGAAUUGGAACUGAACACUGAGUGGAAUGUGUUCAAUCUGGCCCGUUUUGCUCCCUGCUUCGGGCAGAUGAGAAAUCUUCGCAAACUUCUCCUGGCACCCCUCUAUAAGAACGUCUUCAAGAUUGCCAAUAGGACAGGAGACAGAGAAGACAAGUGUGUCAAGGAGUUCAUUUCUAUCUUCUCCAAAUUCAAUUGUCUCCACCAUCUCUCCAUGUGUGGUGUCCACUUUCUCACAGACCACAUGAAUCAGGUCUUCAGGUGCCUGAUGACAUCCUUGGAGUCCCUCUCCAUCACUCACUACCAAAUUUCACAGUCAGACUUGGAUUCCUUCUCUUGCUGCCAGAGUCUCUUUCAGCUAAAACAUCUGGAGAUGAAAGGUGUGGUCUUACAGGUUUUGGAUGUGAUGCCUCUGAAAAUGUCUAUACAGAAUGUGGCAGAUAUUCUACAGACACUGGAUUUUCUGGGGUGUGAGAGGACAGAGCAGUGUCACCUCAGAUCAAUGUCCUUGUACCUACCUUCAGACAGUGCUCCCAACUCACUAAGGUCAAUUUCUAUGAUGAGAAAAUCUCCAUGCAUGUCCUGAGUGACAUUACACACCACAGAGAGAACCUUAGUGAGAGAUAAUUUUGGAGCUGUACCCUGUUCUCCCUGUAGUGCUAUGUUUACAGGGACUAUGUCUAGAGAGAUUUAUAUAAAUUUGUUCUGAGCUCAUGGAAACAAUCAGGGUCAUGAGGCAACCUAAAAGGGUCUUCUUUGCUAAACUAGCCUGUGGAAUAUGUAAUGGAUGGUUGUAUGUAUGA